rnacentral:rRNA from 1 species
CCUACGGGAGGCAGCAGUAGGGAAUAUUGCUCAAUGGGGGAAACCCUGACGCAGCAACGCCGCGUGGCGGAUGAAGGUUUUAGGAUUGUAAACUCCUUUUGUUAGAGACGAUUAUGACGGUAGUUAACGAAUAAGCACCGGCUAACUCCGUGCCAGCAGCCGCGGUAAUACGAAGGGUGCAAGGGUUACUCGGAAUCACUGGGCGUAAAGAGUGCGGAGGCGGGGUAAUAAGGCAGAUGUGAAAUCCUGUAGCUGAACUACAGAACUGCAUUUGAAACUGUUACUAUGGAGUGUGGGAGAGGUAGGUGGAAUUCGUGGGGUAGGGGUGAAAUGCGUAGAGAGCAAGAAGAAUACUCAUUGCGAAGGCGACCUGCUGGAACAUUACUGACGCUGAUGCACGAAAGCGUGGGGAGCAAACAGGAUUAGAUACCCGAGUAGUC